GUAAGGUAGUGGCUUACCAAGGUUGUAACGGGUAACGGGGGAUCAGGGUUCGAUUCCGGAGAGGGAGCCUGAGAAACGGCUACCACAUCCAAGGAAGGCAGCAGGCGCGCAAAUUACCCAAUCCAGACAGUGGGAGGUGGCGACGAGAAUUACUGAGUGGUAGCCUUAAUGGUUAUCGACUUAGAAUGAACGUGAUUUAAGAAAUCCGUUGAGUAACAACUGGAGGGCAAGUCUGGUGCCAGCAGCCGCGGUAAUUCCAGCUCCAGUAGCGUACCUCAAAGUUGCUGCGUUUAAAACGCUCGUAGUUGGAUCACAUGGUUAGGCCUAGUGAAUUAGCGUGUUAGUACGCUAAAUCCUCAAGUGUAGAUGUGACGGUGUGUUAUCGCCGUUGCAGUUUAUAUGUUGUGGAGUACUGCACGUUGAUUGUUAGCUAGGCUUAACUGAUUGCGUAUGGGGAUAGCAGUUGACCUUAAGUGAGUCGAUUGUUGUGUCCCAUAGAGUGUGCCUUGAAUAAAACAGAGUGCUCAAAGCAGGCUUGAUGCCUGAAUGUUAACAGCAUGGAACGAACAAUUGUGGCAACAUGAUGCUGUUGCAACUGGCAAUGUACUUAUUUGUAUGUUGUCAUGUUGUGGCAGUAUCAUAGCACCAACCACUAAUAACGGAUGUUGGUUCCGUAUUAGGGUGAUGAUUAAGAGGAGCGGUUGGGGGCAUUGGUAUUUUGCCGCGAGAGGUGAAAUUCUUGGACCGGCAAAGGACUAACAAAUGCGAAGGCAUUUGCCUAGACCGUAUCCAUUAAUCAAGAACGAUAGUGGGAGGUUCGAAGACGAUCAGAUACCGUCCUAGUUCCCACCGUAAACUAUGCCGACUCGGGAUCAGUUUGGUGCUAUUACCAACGCUCGAAG
rnacentral:rRNA from 1 species